rnacentral:rRNA from 1 species
UACGGUGGGGGCAAGCGUUGUUCGGAAUUACUGGGCGUAAAGGGCUCGUAGGCGGCCAACUAAGUCAGACGUAAAAUCCCCAGGCUCAACCUGGGAACUGCGUCUGAUACUGGAUGGCUUGAAUCCGGGAGAGGGAUGCAGAAUUCCAGGUGUAGCGGUGAAAUGCGUAGAUAUCUGGAGGAAUACCGGUGGCGAAGGCGGCAUCCUGGACCGGCAUUGACGCUGAGGAGCGAAAGCGUGGGGAGCGAACAGG